UUAGAUUACAACUGAGCACCUGAAAAUUCUCUGCAAUCAGGAACUCUCGGCAGCAACGGGAGACGUGCUUAUUGAACUGUCGUUCCUUACUGGGGUCAAUGUACCUUGAAGAGCAGGAAGUAACUUCUCUAGCCAAGUCCUGGGAUUCCCCCUUUUGUGUGUUUCUUGGGGGCAUACCUCGUUGAGCGUACAGCUUCCUUGAACUCGAGGAAACAUCCACAGGUAAAAGCUCAGUGGCUCUCCUGAUCUUCUGAAACUGUGGAAGAGACCCGGUGCAUUGCCUUGGCGGAGAAGACCAGGUCGCGAGACCUGCUGCUCUCCAUCAUCAGAGGCUGAUUUCCCCCGUUCGCAUCUCUCUUCCCCCCGCGAGAGCUUCUGGAGGCUGCUCGCCUGCCCCCUGAAAGAAUAAGCAACGGGGAAUCGAAAAGCCGUACCUCAGGAUGUGGUGUUUUUGAAGUCGUGACAAUAGGUUUGUUGUGAAGCAUGACCAGCGCUGACCCCGGUGACAACAGAGGACCUGUGGCAAGUGU